rnacentral:sRNA from 1 species
GGUGUGAUCAACAGAUACCAACUCUUGCUACCUAGACAACUGGAAGCUUAAUAAAGAUAACCCGAAAAAUUUCAAGGAUCACAACCAUGGUCGUUUGUUUAAUCCAAGUUGCCUCCCUUUAUUUCACACUUUUUAUAUCUGCCACUCAAGCUGUUGUAACCAGGGACGCGCCAGUACAACGAUUGGAUGGUUGGUAUAACAACCCUAUGAACCCUGAUUGGGGUGGGGUCGGGCGUCCCAUUGAGAGAAACGUGACACCCACCUAUGCUGACGACACAUACAGUCCAUCUGGACCUGAUCGGCCCAAUCCAAGGAGAAUCAGUAAUGAGGUGUUUGGUAGUAACCUGGCCGGGUCGUCAGGACUUGAAAAUGAACGCAAUUUAAGCGCAAUGUUUGCUUU